GACGAACGCUGGCGGCGUGCUUAACACAUGCAAGUCGAACGGAAAGGCCCUGCUUUUGUGGGGUGCUCGAGUGGCGAACGGGUGAGUAACACGUGAGUAACCUGCCCUUGACUUUGGGAUAACUUCAGGAAACUGGGGCUAAUACCGGAUAGGAGCUCCUGCUGCAUGGUGGGGGUUGGAAAGUUUCGGCGGUUGGGGAUGGACUCGCGGCUUAUCCGCUUGUUGGUGGGGUAGUGGCUUACCAAGGCUUUGACGGGUAGCCGGCCUGAGAGGGGAACCGGCCACAAUGGUACUGAGAUACGGCGCAGACUGCUACGGGAGGCAGCAGUGGGGAGUAUUGCACAAUGGGCGGAAGCGUGAUGCAGCAACGCCGCGUGCGGGAUGACGGCCUUCGGGGUGUAAACCGCUUUCGCCUGUGACGAAGCGUGAGUGACGGUAAUGGAUAAAGAAGCACCGGCUAACUACGUG
rnacentral:rRNA from 1 species